GGUUUCAACGCACGGACGCCGAUACGCGGGCGAAUAAAAACAGCCUAGAAACUUCGGCAUUAAAAUCGAAAUUAAGUGGCUGGAGCCGAAGGUCAGCCCUUACCCCACGCCGUCAAACAAGCCCCGGGUUUACUAUCAACUGCCAGGUGGAAGAUAAACAUCACAGCAUGCCUCCUACCCCCGACACUGGCUUGCCAUCACCGAACUUGCUGUGGCGUGACUAGCAUCCAGGCGUUCGCUGGUAGUUGAAGAUGCCUCUGGACACACUGGGUUCUUCCAGCGGAUUAUUUGUUCCUCCAGAUUCCAGCAUCUGCUGUCUCGAAGCUAAAUGUGAACACUUAAGAUAUCCAGAAUCUACAUCGAUUAUUAAGAGCAUUCAGAUACGGACGUUUCAGGAAAUUAUCUUGAAUCUGUUCAGCGCAUGACUUGAUUUAGAAAAGUCGUAAAUUCACAGAAAAAUAUUCUAUGAAGCAAAAUUUUUAAAAAUGAAAAGGAUGGGUAAACUGUUUAAUGGGAUUUUUGAUACAAUAUAUCCCAGUGCAUGGAGAGCACUGAACCAUUUGUUAUAAUGAGAAAUAGCUUUGUAAAUCAAAAACAUAUAGUCCAAAGAGUCUGUAGCAUCACAGUGAAAGUUCUUAAAUCAAGUACUAAUAGGUCAAGCAAUAUUAAAUUAUGUGGUCCCAGUUGUGGAAUGUUAUAAAUGGCCUCAUUUCACUUGGCUUAAUGAAAGAUGUAAACAUUAACUACUCUAUGAUCAAUCCAGCCCUUCCCUCCCUACUUAACACUCAAUUUUUCUAUCAUCCAUGUGCUUACAGCAUGGUAGCAUAGUGGUAGGCACAACUCUUUACCUGUGUUCAAUUCCUGUUGCUGCCUAUGAGGACUUUGUACAUUCUCCCCGUGACUGCAUGGGACUCCUCUGUGUGUUCCAGUUUCCUCUGGUAGCCCAAAGACAUACUAGUUGGUAGGUUAAUUGGGCAUUGUAAAUUGUCCUCUGAUUAGGCGAAGAUUAAAUUGGGGAAUUGCUGGGCGGCGUAGUUCAAAGCGUCUAUUUUGUGCUAUAUCACAAUAAGUAAAUAAAAAUAAACAAUCUUGUUUGUGGUUGUUUUUUUAAUUGGAGGACUAUAUACAAGGCUUUGGAUCAGAGUUAUCUCAAGCUGAAGUGACAACAUUCCUGGAUAGGCAGAGAGCCUACUUGUACUUAUUGUCAAAGAUCACAGCAAGGACUGAAAGGAACCACUGAAUGAAGGCUAACACAACUGCACUAUCUUCUGGAGGUGAAUGAUCAGUUUGGCAAAGAGAAAUUGUGUGUCGAGCAUAAAUCAAAAGUACAAAGUCCUUCAAAAUUUGUUCCUGGAGAUUGCACUUCUGCAAUUUCAUUGUUCAUUGUAAGAAUAAUUAUCCAUAUUUUUAUUUGCGUGGGCACAUCAUUAAUUUGUGUGCAAGAUUCGAAUUUUGUAGAACUGUAACAUGCAAUGUAUUUCAAAUCAUUCAU